GACAGAGGAUGCAAGCGUUAUCCGGAAUGAUUGGGCGUAAAGCGUCUGUAGGUGGCUUUUUAAGUCCGCCGUCAAAUCCCAGGGCUCAACCCUGGACAGGCGGUGGAACUACCAAGCUGGAGUACGGUAGGGGCAGAGGGAAUUCCUGGUGUAGCGGUGGAAUGCGCAGAUAUCAGGAAGAACACCCGUGGCGAAGGCGGCUCUCUGGAACGCAACUGACGCUGAGACGCGAAAGCGUGGGGAGCAAACAG
rnacentral:rRNA from 1 species